AGCCGCCGGGGAGGGGCGGUGCCGCAGGGAGCGGAGCCCGGCCUCUCGCCCCCACCCCUUUUGGUGCCCGAGUCUGGGCGGUGACACAAAAAGCUCCCGCUCCUAGCCGAGCGCCUGGCGGCGGUGUUCGACUGCGAGCGCGGAGGGCGGCCGGGCAGGUGGGGCGCCUCCUGAGGGUCCGAGCAGGGAGCUGGGGCUGCAGGCGCCGCCGCCGCCGCGCUCCCCGCGCCCGCCCCGCAGCCCUCGGCGCGCGUCUGGCCGAGCGGGUGACGGGCGCGCCGGGACCCCCGGGCGGCGAUGCUGCUGCUGCCGCUGCCGCCGCCGCCGUCGCCGCUUCUGUAGGGAGCGCCGGAGCCCGCUGCGGAGAGAGGUCGGCUGAACAAAGCUCAGGCUCAGUUGUGCUUCCUGCUUGUCAGCCUCUUGCCUCCCAAACGCGUACCAUUUCCACUUGAUGUCAUCACGCAGAAGGGGGUGAAAGGGACUCGGUGACAGAUUCAGUGUUCGAAAUAUCAAGAAGGACGUGCAGAAGUAAGUUACUGGGAGGUGGGAGGGAGGACAGUUGGGGGAGCAGAAAAUGGAGCUUCAGUUAAGCUUCCAUUCAUAUAGCCAUGAACCAUUAGGCCCUCAGUCUGCAUUUUAUCUUUAGGUGUUGGUUCUUUUCCAAAAACUCUGGCCUAUUAUUCUUUUCAUUCCAAGGAUAGUUCUGUUUUGAUGGCAACCUAACCAGGUCUGGGGUUAUCUUGAUAAAGCUCAGUGAAAGCCUACCCUUCAGAUGGAUCAGGACACCUGGUGUUGGUGUUGUCUCCUAGAGCGCAGAGUCAUGGUGUCCUACACGAGAAGCAGGGAAGAAGGAUGUGUAUGGACAUAGACUCAAGUUUUAUUUUGCAGGAAGAAGGGACGGCUGAGGACCAGAGGCCAGUGUGCUGUCUCUUGCACUAUAGCAACAGCAUGGUAUCCGGAGCAGAUUCUACCUUCAUUUUUUCCCCCAAAUCCCUUAAAAAAUAAAAUUUUAAAACUUGAAAGAUUUGUCAUUCCCCUCUAGGGUAGUUUUGUUUGGAAACGUGACUUUUAACAAAACAUCAGUGAUGCUGGCAUUUAUUCUUCGACUCAGAGCAUUCAUGUAUCACCAGGAAAAGUAGAUGAGUUAUCAACCUGUCCCAGCUGAAACAAAGACCAGUGCUUUGGAAAGAUCAACCUUGUAGUGGGGCUAAGGUAGAGGUAUUUUGACAAGUGGUUUUUAUGUCAGCAGUAAUGCAGGGUGUGUGCUGUGUUCCUGCAAGAGGGGAAGCUACGUGAUGGGAUAAUAGGGAGUGUAAUAAUGCAAUAGAAACAAAGGGUGUGUGUGUGUGUGUUUUAAAUAGAAAAAAUAAAUACCUCACCCACAAAAUUCCACAUGGGAAAACAGCUGCCUGAACAUGUAAAUGCAUGUCCAAGAACAAAGAUAGCCGUAGCGCAGGGUUAGCUUUCAAUGUGGUUUUCAAUUGUGUCUAGUAAUAAAUCCUAAUCAAGUGUUGUACUGAUGUUUAAUUUGUUCUUUUAGGUGGAUGCUCCCCACUCCCAGAUGUCGGCAGUAGUGUGUUUUAGUUUUAGGUUGGAGGAGCCCUAGAGGUGAUGAGACCGACUUUUUCCGCCAGAGCUGAGUCCUUUCUACAGUGUUCAUUUAAUUCGUUUGGCAGAUGUUUAUGGAGCACCGGAUAGGCACUGGGCUCUCUGAUAGCUGCCAGGGGGCAGGCUGGGGCGGAGUGUGGAGACACAAAGGCGAACCGCCUUCCAGAGCUUCUGGGGGGAUGGAGAAAUGAAGACCUGACUAAUUAGGUGCAGUGGGCGCUAGAGAGAGGGGAGCAAAGAGGGGGUACUGGACUUCUGAGGAGGCAGCCUAUGAUCAUCCCGCCUCCACUUGAACGCCUCUUUCAUUAGGGUGCUCACUGCUUCGCCAAUGUCUGCACCUGUUGUCAGAAGGCGACCUUCUCUUCGUAGUCUUUAAACUCCGCAGCUGAAUUCCACAUGAAUGGGUAGAUUUCACCAUUGUCGAGAGGUUAUUCUGUUUUCAUUCCUUAUUCUCUCAGAGUUGUUUAGAUCUGUCUAUCCUGUUGGCACCCUCUACAUUUCAAGGCAUUAUUCAGGCCCUGCUGCACUUGAAUUUUGAAAUAAAUUCUUCUUUUCUGAAUUAGAAAACAGAUGGGAGGGGGACGUUUGCAGAUCUCUCUCUUUUUUAAGCAAUGAUGUAUCAGCAAGAUAGGUUAGGUUAUUCUGCCAUAACAAAUAACCUCCGGGUCUCAGUGGCCCGGUUUCUUUCUUUCCCACACUGUGUGUCCAACACAGUCAGCAAGUGGGCCCUGCUCAUCGUAGUCAUGCAACGACCCAAAUUGGUGGGGGUGUGAUCUUGACGUGUGAUCAAGGUCACAAGAUCACUGCAGAUCAAGGUCACAAGAUCACUGCAGCAUGGGAGAGGAAGCUCCAGAGGAUCUUGCUCCAAAAUGACAUGAUCUGACCCUGAAGUGACUUAUGUUGCUUCACCAGACUAGUCCUAUGACCCCGUUUAACGACAAUCUGAUAUUGUACUGAAAAAGGGAAAACCGGAUAUAGGUGAGUAGCACCAAUGACCUUCCACAAGUGAUGUGGCCUAGUGUGUUCCUAUGGGGUCUAGCUUAGCACAUUGUUAUACGAGUAUGGAUUGAAUGAACAAAUGAUACGUCGCUUAAAGAAUCUGGUCGUACUCCAACCUGUUCUUUACUAGUAUGUUCCUAUUAUAUUUGCUAAUAUGACCUCACACCGGUCAUCAAAUAAAAAAUGAUAAUUAUUUUCUCUUUUUGCCUGUUUUGAGUAGUUCUUUGUUCUGACGUGAUAGGCCAGGAAUGUUUCCAAGGCUGGUUCUAGGAGGUUCUGUGCUUAGCAUUAUAUAAUAGAGAGGGGUUGCUUACACACUUCCUCUCCCUCGCUGUCUGCCUCUUGUCUAAGACUUCCUGAGUUUGUUUGAGCAGCCAAGGGUAGAAAAAGCAACGGUGGGCCUAGCGUCACCCAGGAUGUGGCCUCCCUCGGCCAAUACGGCAGAUAAGACCUAGAGGGGGCAGGGGAUGUGUGGGGUAGUCUGGAUCUUCCUCUUAUUGCUUUGAUAUUAGACAAAGGAAUUUUGGACAAGAUGUAUUUUCUGGUCAUAGGGCUAAUAGAACACCUGAGAGUUCUGGGGCAUUCAGACUUUCAUCAGCAACCAUGGUGGCUAUGAGGGUGGUAAGUUUUAAAGCCUCCCUUUCUGCACCCUCCCUAAAAAUAGUUGGGUUCUGUGGCAUAGUCAUUGUGAGGGGCUGUGGAUUAAGCGGCUGGUGGCUUGUUGAGAGAUUUUGCUCUGCAGAGUGCUGGUCACGCAAAUAAUCUUUGUUGUGAUAAAUGCGUGCAUGAAUUAGAACGUCUAGGAUUUGAUAUAUACCUUUAGCAUAAGUAUGGAAUUGAACAAGAGUAUGGCUUCUGGGUCAGUAAUCACCUUGUUGAAGCCGUUUUUACAGACAGCUCUCCGUAGGCAGGUGAUAUGGUAAGCUGACUGCUAGCUCCUGAGUCAGUGACCAGAGGACCUCAGUGUUGGCCUAAGAGUCCAGAGGCUGCCUCCUAGUCCAGCUUUCCUUGCGUGACAAAGUAUUGCACCCGUAGGAGUUCUGAGGUGGAGAUGAGCAGCUGAGAAACCGGCAGAGAGAUCAGAUGCAGCUCAUCCAAGACCUCCAGGUACUAAUUCAGGGCCAGGCGCAGACUGAGAGAGGGAGAAAAUGAAGCCCGGAGGGACUGGUCUUGAAAUAUCUUUGGGAAGCUCCAAAAUACAUGCCUAGAUUUUGUUGGGCCUCUGAGUUCCUACCGUUUUACUUUCAUAGUGAAGUUGGCCAUCUAGGUAGAAGACCCCUGUGGAGGGAACGUGGUUCCUGGCACUGCCAGUCGCAAUGACGUGGUUGCAAUGUCGUGGAAGCCGGAAGCAAGGAACGUGUUGGUUUUCCUGAUCCUUUCCUCAGGGCUUUGGGAGCUACACUGUAUGUUCCAGGAUAAAACAAGUACUUGUUUUAUGGUUAAGGAUUUUCUAUUUCCAGUUGACUUUCUGUCAUUGUGAGAGUUCAGGAGGGAGGCCUCAAGUCGUGUAUAUGUGAUUUGCAUUUCCUUUGGGUAGCUCUUGAGGCCUGGGAUUUCCUGUCGGAGACCUGAUGUGGCUGCGCAGGCCUUGGAGCACAUUCCUUGUGGAGUUGUGUGUGUGUGUGUGUGUUGGGCGGGGAGGGGGCGGGUGGGUGUGGUACCUGUGAGCUGCUGGGAGUCAAGGGGCUGAGUAGGAAAGGAUGCCUUAUUCACCACUUGAUUUAUUAAUUCCUGCAUGGAUGAAACUCAUUGCAACAUCCUGCAUGGUAAAGAUUAUUAUUGUACAUCACAUAGGCUUCCUGGGGGAGCAGACUUCCCCAGGGAAGGGAUUGAUCAAAUGCAGAUGUGCUGCUGGUGGAGAAGAAGUCGUGAGGAAAUGGAGUCUCCCAACGCAGUAUUCUGUGCUUGUGUUUUCUCUUUCUGCUCCCCCAUCCCCAUCUUACUCCUACCUGUCAAGGAAGUGUAACUUUUCUGCCUCACUUUCCAUUAAUAAGUCCAGAUAAUCACAUGUAAUGUGCUCCUCACUGAGCUUUGAGAGAUACUGUGGAAAUAGAUACUGUGGAAAUAGGGGCCAUUAUUAUUCACGUUGGUGUUCUGCUUAUUAACAGAUUAACUGAUCAUCUUUAUUUUUUAAAUUUUUUAUUUCUUUUAACAUCUUUAUUGGAGUAUAAUUGCUUUACAAUGGUGCGUUAGUUUCCGCUGUAUAACAAAGUGAAUCAGCUAUAUGUAUACAUAUAUCCCCAUGUCCCCUCCCUCCCACCCUCCCUAUCCCACCCCUCUAGGUGGUCACAAAGCACCGAGCUGAUCUCCCUGUGCUAUGCGGCUGCUUCCCACUAGCUAUCUAUUUUACAUUUGGUAGUGUAUAUAUGUCCAUGCCACUCUCUCACUUCAUCCCAGCUCACCCUUCCCCCUCCCCGUGUCCUCAAGUCCAUCCUCUACGUCUGCGUCUUUAUUCCUGUCCUGCCCCUAGGUUCUUCAGAACCAUUUUUUUUUAAGAUUCCAUAUAUAUGUGUUAGUAUGCGGUAUUUGUUUUUCUCUUUCUGACUUACUUCACUCUGUAUGAUAGACUCUAGGUCCAUCCACCUCACUACAAAUAACUCAGUUUCGUUCCUUUUCAUGGCUGAAUAAUACUCCAUUGUAUAUAUGUGCCACGUCUUCUUUAUCCGUUCAUCUGUCGAUGGACGCUUCGGUGGUUUCCGUGUCCUGGCUAUUGUAAGUAGUGAACUGACCAUCUUUAGUGACAGUUCCCACAUCUUCCUUGAUUUCCAUCCCCACUGCCACAUCUUAGCUGAGAACCUUAUUUCUCUCAUUCCUGGCUUUCCCAGCCCCAGCUUCCUGUCCAACUUUGACUUUUGCUCUGCAUGACUUUAAAACACAACAUUAGCUGGGAUGGUUAGCCCACUAGUCCCCCAAAAUGCUUUGCAUGGCCCUAUUUCUUAAUCCUGGAAUAUUCUGUGGCCUACAGUCUCCUGUGCCUCAUGAUACCCCAUCAUUACAGGUGUGACUCAGCUCUUAACUCUCCUAAAAAACUUAACUCCAUCAUUUUAGCUCAUAGCAAUCCUCGACGCCUCCACAGUUCUCUGUCAAAAUUACCUCUCUCAUUUCACUCAACAUUCAUUCUACAAAGGGCACUUAUCAUAGAUUGUCCUGUAUUAUCACCUAAGAUUGAAGUGUCUUUUUCUUUCUGUUUAAUUGCAAAGAAUAGAAACCCACUAAAGCUGGUUCAUGUAACAGGAGGUGUGUUGACAAGAUGUCCCAGGGUGUCUUUUGUCAUCAAACCACAUAUCACAAGUCAUUGCUCAGCUGGGGGAGAGGGUAAGGCGUACAGUUCUUUCCAAGGGGCCUGCAGGCUGGUAGAUGUAGAGAUGAAAGCAGCAGGAUCUCGGUUCUCUUGCAAGUUCUUUAAAGAUGAAGACUGGAUAAGGUUUGACCUUAUUUUGUAUUCCCUACCACGUUUGUACAAAUUAAGGGCUCCGUACAUACUCGAUCAUUGAUAACACAGAAAUGAUUUUGACUUACUGUGGUAAGGGAAUUAUACAUGCUUUGGGCCUGUAGAAUUGAAGUUAAGAAGAGAGAAAAUUAUUUUUAAGAGCUUCCCCUACUUGCAUUAAUAAUGAGUAAAUGUUGAAUCAGAUUAGGGUUGCCAGGCUGCAGUGUGCAUACCAGUGGUUGGGAGGUGAACAUUCUCAUAGAGGGUCAUCAUUCUAACAAAAUGAAUUGUCACUGGUGGCCUGUUUUUCAACUUGAAUUGGGCUGAUUCUUCCAAAACAAUAACAAAGCAAACAAAAAACCCCUCUUGGGGACAUACAGUAAGCAGCAUCAGAACUCUACACUCCACUAAGCCAGCCAACAAACUCAGGGAGCAGACGGUGCUGUUUGGGUUUGACAUGAGUGGGUGACAGUUUCCCACAAAUGGCUACCACCCCUCCUUUCCUAAUUAACUUCUGGCCAUAAAUGCCUUUGGGAGGGACAUCUGGUUUACCUCACUUCUUUUGAUCUUGGAAUAAUUCACAGGAUAGAAAGUCUUCUUUAGCCCUCGGAAUGCUCGAUCAUUAUGGAUAGUGUUAUUAUGAAAGAGGAAAGGUGUUCAGCUGCUUGGAGAAAAUGGCCAGGAAUAUAUUAACAUUAAAAUAAUGUUCUCAGUUUGACGGGUAAUGAAUGGAGCUGAGAGAUAGAUGUCUCAAAAACAAAGUAUUUGGUGUGAUGUUCUUUUGCAGUUGUGUCGCUCUGUAGGUUUGCAGAUUGCUUCCUUUCAGGUUAAAUGAAACUGAAAGUGGUUGGAGAGCAGGAGGGUAGAUCUCUACCAUGCAGGUAGAGUGCCAGCCAUCCUUAACUGGGGUAAGUACCUGUCCAUGUAUUCCUGCCCCAUCACACUAACCCUUCAGAAGCUUCAGGUAGGAGUUCAUCUAUUCACCUAUGGUGGUGGCUAAAAUAGCCUUUGAAACACUGAGCAUCAAUAACUUAAACCUCAUAUUAGGUAUGCAAUUGUAUUCAUUACAUUUAUUCAAAUAUUGAGUGCCUUCUGUUUGCCAGGCACAAUUCUGCCCAAUUCUAACUAAAAUCCCUGCCUUGCCUUAGCUUAAUGUAUGAGCUUAACUCAAUUGAUUUUGGCUUCUGCCUUUUUUUUUUUUCUUGCAAGGGCAACACUAAAAGUAGAGAAAAUAAAAGAAAUGUAUCUGAUACUCUCCUCUCUCAGUUCUUGAUGCCUCACUAUAUAUGCUCACCUUACUUGAACCUAAUUCAAUUGAAUGGUUGAAAACAUGGAACUUUUGAAGCAAGAUGGGUUGGGUUCAAACAUGAGCUCUGUCAUAAUGACCUUGAGUAAAUAAGGUCUGACUGAGCCUUGGUUUCUUCCUCUGGAAAAUGGAGGUCAAUCAACCUCACUGAGUUAUUGUGAGUGUGAGAUCAUUUAUAUAAGGUGCUUAGUGUGUUGUCCUACACAUCACAAGCUCUGCGUAAUGGCAACUAUUAUUAACGUCCAUUUUAUGUAGUAUUUACCAUCCACCAGUCUUAUGCUGGAUUCUGGAAAUCUUGGGGUGAAUAGUUAUGGUCUAAACUGAAGGAGCUCUUAAACUAGCCAAGGAAAUACCCACAUCCAGAUAACUCCAGCCUUCGGCAUUUAUGUGAAGAUUUCUUCUGUAUGUCGUGUCAUUGGAGUCUUGUCAUUGGAAAGUCUUUGUAGAGCUUAAAUGGUGUGGCAUUUUAAAAGGAUAGGCCUUCUCAGGAGGAAGCUGGAGGAAGCUGUGAGGUUCUAGGACAGCCCACGGGCAACCCAGGCCUUCCUUAAAAGGCACCAGGCGCCUUUCUCCUAGGGCCUCAUUUCCCUCAGGCAAGUGAAGUAAUGUACCUCCCUUUGCUGAGGUCUGGUUUCUUGGGGGUAGGGUGACCCACUGACUCAGCUUGUCCAGGCCUAAGAGGGUACCUGAGUUGAGGGACUUGCCAUUUUAAAACCAGAACAGUCCCAGGAAACCUGGGACCGGUUGGUCACCCUACUUAGGGGUCCUGUCCUUGUUCUAUGAUUGUUGUUCGCAUCCUGAAGCAGGCUUUGUAGACAUUUCACAUCGUUAGAGACACAGCCAUCGUAAGACAGGAGGCAGGAGAGAAUGGGGCAGGAUAAGACUGGAGAAGGCAGUGUGGCUGUCAAUCUAUAUUUGAAUCUGCUUUUUGGAUGGAAUCUUUAUUAGUAUUAGUAUUAUUUUAAAGAAGAGAGCUCUUUAAUAAAGGCACAAAAACUAGACUGUACAAUGCAAAAUAUAAAGUUAAUGGAGUCUUUAAAAAGUUUCCCCUAGACAGUGGUAUUUGCUAUGCCUGGUAGGGCUGUUGAAUGGAACUUGGUACAUAGUAGACAUUCAGUAAAUAUUUGUUGAAGGAAGGCUGGAAUCAAUUUAAUCUUCAGAAACAGCUUUGAGAGCUGGGUUCCAGUUCAGGCUGGAUUUGAGCCUGGGCCUUUGAUACCUAAUUUGAAAGUGUGUAAACCCAGAUCUGCUCUUGUUGCGAGCAGAUUCCUUGUUGUGCUGAUAUCCGAAGUGUAUUUAUGUAGGAGCUUAGGCCCUUCUCGACUUGUGUUUUUUUCUUCUCGGUGAAACCACACAACACCAGCAGAUGGGUUGCCUUGUCUUUUGGUUGCAGCUAGGAUGUUUCUGGAACGUGCCCGUGUUGUAAACGUGACGGUAGCGUGGGCUGUGAUGGGGGCGCUUGUGUACACAGUGCUCAGUGCUUUCCUCCCGAAGGUGUGGGAGGGAUUUCCUGCUGAGUCUGUUAAUUCCAAGUGGGGGCUGGGAAGUGGACCAGGCCUGGCUCCAUACUGCUGGGUGGAGAUGUCCAGAGCCGGGCUCCCAGUUGCCAGCGUUCCCUCCUCCUGAACCUUCGUUAUUAACACGGAUGGCAACCUAUAAGGCUCUUAGAUAAGCCACAGAUUUUUCUAGUCUUUAGCUGAGGCUUCAAAUGGUAAUCUUUUGUCUUCUGUUUCUUCCUGAGAAGUGUUAACUGUUUAUCCAGGGAUGGUAGGACCUGCAGCAAGUUGCCAGAAACAGUAAUUAGUUUGCUGGUUGCCAGUUCUCUAAAUCUCAUGCACAGAGCACCUGAGGGCAACUGCCAGACAUUUACAUCACCCUUCGCAUCAGAUUCCCAUGCCAUCAUUAUGUACGCUGAGAAAUCAUAUUCUUUUAUGUUCCUGACAAGCCAGAUUUCUUCAUGGGUUCUUACUUCACCUAAGAAGAAGGUAAAUAGCUUAUCUACGGAAGGGGAAUCUUUCGGGUAAACAGAAUUGAUUUACUAAAUUGCCUUUAUUUCUAUACACAAAAUACUAAAUAUUGGUUCAAAGAGAGUGUUUCUUUGCAGAGUCCAUAGUUUACUUUUUUUUUUUCCAACAGUGGAGUCAGAGCUAUCAAAAAUUUAUUGUUCAUACGCCUUGAGUUUAUAUCAAAAUAAUAAAUAAAGUUUCUGAGAAUUGCAUCUCAGGGCGGUCGUACUUCCCUACAAGGAGUUCAUUGACGUACAAGGAAAAAUGUCUUUACUAAGAAGUUAAAAAGAACACGACAGACUUCACUCCAGACUUAUUAUACCUUACUUGUUGAAAUCUGUCCAUGCAGAUGCCGAACCCUCUCUUUAAUGUGCUCCUUAAAAUAACAUUCUCUUGGGAUCAAGUCCAGUCUGCAAUGGAAAUUGAAGGAGACACUGUCCAGACAAUUUAGAAUUCCUUGUAAAUUAGGAGGGCAGCGAUAAUCAAUUUUGAAGCCUAAGCGUGAUUCAGCCUAGUUCUGGUUGGCUUGACUUUUGUUUUAUUCCUUGUUCUUGACUUACUGCAAAAGGCAUUGCCAUGCAAUUUUGUUUCCACUUUUCGUAAAGGUGGAUGGGACUUGACUUAGCCUAAGACCCUAGAUGUCUCCCCCUCACCAUAGGAGGAAGCAGUUCGGAACAGGCUGACUCUUCUCCGUGUUCUGGAGGCUGCUUCCCUCGUUUUAACUUCUCCUUCGAGAUUCCAACUUGUAAAGAAACAAAUUUCUUCCUUUUAUGAGGCUUUUUAGUGCUAGGUGAUUAGUGUCGUUCGAUAUAAUCUAUAGUACUUAACAACUAGAUACACUGUUUUCCCAAAGCUGAUCACAGUGAAAAUAAGAGUUAGAGAGAGAGAGAGGCAUCAAUUUGAGGGAGGAAGCGUGAGUGAAGAGAAUGAUGGGGGUAAAUAAUUGUGUCGGAGUAUGGUAUCUUAAAAAUUUUAAUUUUAGCUUCAAAAUUAAGAACCACCGUUGUUUACAUGGUGAUGUUGGUUUGUAAUUAAUAGCAUCUGGCCCAAGCAAACUGAAGUCGCUAUUAGUAAUAUUCUACAAAACAACAUGAAAGUUCAUCAGAUAUUUCCCUUCCCAGCUGUGUCAGAUUCCACAAUGUAUUUUAUGACAACCAAAAGACAAUUUUGGGGGGCAGAGGAGAUGGCUAUGGUACAAAGAUAUAGUGUUUAUUAUAUGCUUCAGGUUCAGUGCUAAGAGCUUUAAGCACAUUAUCUGGGAGGCAGUAGAUCCUGGAAACUUAGGUAACUUCUUCAAGGUCACACAGUGAAUUUAUGCCAGAGCCAGGAUAUGAACCCGGGCAGUCUGUGCUCUUAACCACGGCCUGGGAGCUACAUUCACAACUGGAAGAAGAUCGGAAGAAGCAAAAACUUCUUUUUUAACCCAACAGGUUCAGUGUGACAUAAUUUAGGAAGAGAUCUGACUUCUGCACUGUCCUGUCUUUGGGGAACAAAGAUGGAUGCAUUUGGGCAACCAUCUGCCUGAAUCAGUUUCAUGUUGGCUCUGAGGUCGCAUGGUUUGAAAGACUCUGUGACAGGUCCUGUUGGGAAAUUUGCAGUGAGAUUUCCAGCUAUUACCCGGGCUUUGCCCUGUGCUAACAAAUUUCUAUGAAGCCUGGUGGUGUGAAUUGUUUCUCAAAGGGCCACUUGACUGAAAGAGCCAGUGUGUGUGGCUGGGAGCUUAAGACUUUCAUGAGCACACUGCUAAAAAAUGUUUGACCCAAAUAGCGUUUUUUACUACCCCUCCUCCCCUAGUUCCUAUUUCUUCCCCUAAACAAAAAGGGAAUAAAUCAUAUCCUUUCAUAUUGUUAUUCCUUUGUACAGUUUCCUUUUCCUGGAACCACCUUUUUCUUCUCCACCGCCCUGCAAAAAAACCCCCACAACAUUUCGAUGGAAAGCCAUGAGUAUAUGCUUCCUUCGAGACGUCUUUCCUAUUCCACUUUCCCUAUGGCUUCUCCUCCAACUCUCUCAGCCGGAAUUCAUUGCCCUUCCAUUUGUUCUUUUAAAUCCCACUUACCCCCAUGUCUGAUAAUCUACAUAUACUUGCCUCCCCUGCUCCACUGUGAAGUCUUUGACUUGUAAGACCUUGUCUUGUUUAGGAGCCUGGAGCUUGGAUGAAUGAAUGGAGGAACGAACAAGCAAAUGAACGAACAGACUAUCGAUACGUGGAUUUGCUGGGAUUGAUUAGAGUGUAUGGUAGUGGGAAAUGGUGGUGGAUCUGAGCAUUGACGUAUGUGCGAUUGUGGAGACUGGCUAGAUGCUUACCAAAGUCUCGGCAAUAUUGCCAUUUGGGGCUGGUUAAUUUUUUGUCGUGGGGAGACUGUCCUGUGCACUGGGGGACGUUUAGGAGCUUCCCUGGACUCUACCUACUACAUGCCAGUUACCCAGCUAUAACAAUCAGAGAUGUCUCCAGACAUUGCCACCUGCCUCUUGAGAGUCAAAAUUGCCCGCAGUUGACAACCACUGUAUUGGACUACUUUCUGUAUCUAGCUGGAGCCAUGAGAUUGGUUCUCACGAAAGGUUGUGUGUGGAAAUGAGAGGCAGUUAAGAGUGGGGGUCCUUUUGCAUAUCUGCUCUCUUUCUGGUCUGCUGGCCAGCUGCAGGGGGGUGCUGGGGAGAACUAUGAAGCCCUGGGGUAUGAUGGAGUCACGGGGUGGAAGGACCCCUGGUCCUGAAUGACCUUGUGGAGCAGAGCCUUCCUUACCAGCUUGCAUUGAGAUGCAACGUGAAGAAAUUAAACCACAUGCGUUAGGCCAGUGAGAUUUGGGGGUAUGUAUUUUGGCAGUCAGUCUACCUUCCCUAACCUUCCCUGACUGCUUGGAAAGAAGGGACUUUGCUGAAGCAGCCAUGCCCAGUAUUCCAGGCAGUGAGUAAAAUCAGACAUUCUAACCACGGCAAAAGAGAGAGUUUGUUUAUUUGUCUGUUCUUGUGUAGGUAGCAUCAGUCUUAUUGCUAUAACUCUUUUAAUUUCUCAAAUUUAUCAGGAAAUAAGAGGAUGAUAAAUGUGAAUUUGCUGUUCCACCACUUUAAUACUGACCUGUGAAUAACAGGGAGCUCUGAGCUAUAAAUGCUUUUAGUAAAAAGUUAAUAAAACAUCGAAUGUCCCAGCGGUUCUCGUUUCACUGUGUAUGAAUAUGAGUCUGCAAUGCAAGUUCAGGUUGAGAUAUCUGUGGUAAUUUAUGUUUAAUGCGUUUUCAUAUUUUGGGGGGAAAAUGACAGAUGUUGAUACCCUACAGUCACAGCUGUUCCCCACACCAUUAACAAAUAAAUCGCUGUAUAGGAUGUGAUGGGCUUUGAACCAGACUCCUAUAUGCUUAGUCCAGCUGAAUGAUGUGGGUUAGUGUCCCUUAAAAAGCUGAACCCCAAAGCUUGCUUCUCAGACCAAAUUCAAUGCCUAGUGCAAGAUUUCCUUUGCAGCAGUUAAUUGGAUUUGUGGUUGUGUCUACGCAGAGCCACUGUCCGCAACUCAUAAGUCAAACGGUUUCAUUUGGCACUCAUCUGGAUGACAACAGAGGGGUUGUUUGUGGGAGACAAUGGCUGAUUGUGGGUGAGCCCUUCGUUGGCUGAAAGCUUCAUGUUUGAGUCAGUGGUCUCGGUGCCUGCCCCAUUUGCACAGUGUUCAGUCCAUUGUACAAAGAGCCACCCCCGGUGAAUUUUACCUUACCUGUCAAAGACUCCCUGUCAGCAGGUAGAACAAAUCUGGCCUCAGGAUUUUAAGAUGGUAAAGUCUCUCUUUCUAGAAAAAAUCCUGCUGGCAUCUUAACUACCAAAUAUCUGAUCCUUCUGUGUUUUUUUUUUUCCCCCAGAUAAAACAUUUGCACAAGAAUGAGAAUAAGAGUAGCUAAUACGGAUGACACUAGUUAUGUGCCAGGCUCUGAGUGUUUUGCAUACAGAUUGUGCGUCAUUAUCACAAUAGUCUUAAGGGGAAGGUACUACUAAUAUCUCUAUUUUGAUUUCUCUAUUUACAAGAACCUGAGGCACAGAGAGGCUAAAUGAUUUGCCCAAGAUCACAAAAUAAGUAAUGCCAGAGCUGGGAUUAGAACCCAGCCAUGAAUGGCUCCAGAGGUUAUGAUAUAAGCCACUGCAGUAUGCUGCCUCAGAUUUUUCAUUCUGUUAAGGAGGUUCACUUUGUCUGAGAUAUCCUGUAUUUUUAUGACUUCAACUAACAUUUGUAUAUGAUGAUUAAAAAGAGUUCGUGAUACUACUGCUUUAUUUUUGCAUGGGUUGAGCAUAAUUCCCUACUAAGCUGUCAGCUGAUGGCCUUGUGUCUUCCAUAACUCUUGACACAACGCUUCCUUGUAAGAAAGUGCUAAUUUAGCACGUUGGUUUGAUUAUUUUUAUAUAGAAAUGCUCCUUUAGGAGGUUACCUCUGUAGGAAUAAGAACACAUGGACACAAGGAACUCAAGUGCCAGGUGGUGUUGGAUGAAGUGGCCUUGGAGUUCAGAGGGGGAAAGAUGACUUCCUGCUAGAGGGUUUAGAAUGGCUUCACGGAAGAAGUAGCAUUUGCCAAUGCCCUGGAAGGGUAGGUAGUCAUCUGGACAUCUGGAGUGGCAUUUCUGCAGCAGCAAGGUGGUAAGGGAGGGUGGAUCUUGUCUUCUGGACAACAAAAAAUGCUUUCUGCCUGAAGCCUGGAGCAUGUGAGCAGGACUUGUAGGAAAAGGAUUAGAAUGGUGGGUGGGAGGGGGACUUUGGCAUUUAUUCUGCAGGAAGCCACUGAUGGUGUAGGGGCAGGAAAGGAUGUGGAUGUGAAGCUGUGCUUUCAGAAGCUUAACCUGGCAGCAGUCGGUAUGGAUCGGGGAGGAAAGGACAAAGGUGGGGAGGCCAGUUGGGGUCCAGAGAAGAUGUGGAGAAGACUUGGACUCCAGGGGAGGCCACAGGAAUGGAAAGGGUGAAUGAAAGCAAGAAGCGUUUCUGAGACAAAGUUAGAAUAUUGGAGACAGAUUGAAUGAGAGGUGAGAAGUAAACAGGUUUUCACGUCUGAGCUGCUGGGUAAAUAGUGGUAACAAAUAUAAAAUUGUGGAGGAAGGACCAGAUUUGGGAGAAAUCAAGAGUUCACUUUGGAAAUGCAGUUAGUAGCGAGGUCAGAGCUGUUCUUUCGAGAGUAAUGCACAUCCAGGUGGUCAUUAUGAGUCUGAGUUCUGAACCGUGUUACCCAGAGAGAACCUCUCGAGGGCUGGCUGUGAAAGGACAUAGGUAAAAAGAAUGGUAGGAACAAAGAAAAAAAUUAUCUGGAGCAGAGGAGACUUGCACGUAUCGAACACUAAAAGUGGUAUGUGACUUCACAUUAUCGUGUAGCUUGAUUUCUAUCUAUUGCUCCUAAAUUGGUUAUGAUUUC